GAUUAACGCUGGCGGCGUGCCUAACACAUGCAAGUCGAGCGGCAGCGAGUUUUACACUGAAUUCUGGAAGCUUCUAGUUGAAAGAGAAGAUUUAUUCAAGAAUUUUGUGUAAAAUGUCGGCGAGCGGCGGACGGCUGAGUAACGCGUGGGAACGUACCCCAAAGUGAGGGAUAACGCAUCGAAAGGUGUGCUAAUACCGCAUAUGGUCUUCGAAUUAAAGCCUUCGGGCGCUUUGGGAACGGCCUGCGUAAGAUUAGAUAGUUGGUGGGGUAAUGGCCUACCAAGUCGACGAUCUUUAACUGGUUUGAGAGGAUGAUCAGUCAGACUGGAACUGAGACACGGUCCAGACUCCUACGGGAGGCAGCAGUGAGGAAUCUUCCACAAUGGGCGAAAGCCUGAUGGAGCAACGCCGCGUGCAGGAUGAAGGCCUUCGGGUUGUAAACUGCUUUUAUAAGUGAGGAUUAUGACAGUAACUUAUGAAUAAGGAUCGGCUAACUACGUG
rnacentral:rRNA from 1 species